UGGAAAGUGGCUCAGUGGUAGAGUGCUUGCCUUGCAUGCAUGAGGCCCUGGGUUUGAUUUCUCAGUACCAC
rnacentral:tRNA from 1 species